rnacentral:lncRNA from 1 species
CCCCAAACCAUCUCUCAACACCCCUCUGAGCCCUAAUGUAACGCCGCCCCACACCGCCGCCCGCCGCCCGCCGGAGAUCACCUACGGCGGUGACCGGCGGCCAACCGCACCUAAAUUUACACCAAACACUCCCCUUUACCCCAUCUGUCCAAAUCCCCAUUCAACUUCCUUAGAUCCCCUAGGAACCUCUCGAAUCUGGAUUUGAAAACACAACCCUAAAAAUCUCAAGUCCAAAUCAGUGGGCCUAUUUGAAGAUUUAGGAUUGUAAUAGACGGCAAUCGUGUGUAUUUGCAUGAAAACACAUGGUUAGAAUCUAUUCCGGUCAAGAAAUCGAAAGAUCCUUCGAGGUUUUUUCAGGUCUACAUCUGGUUAGUUUAGGUAUAGUUCUGGUUUUUUAUUUUUCUUUUAUUGUAUCAUUGCUCUUCAUUUUCGACCUUGUCUAAUUGGAUGUGACAUUCUGUUUUCCCCCUUUCUUUGUUUUUCUAUUUUUGAUUAGGAAGUUGUUAGGAAUUCUUCACUUUUAUUUCUAGUUUUCUGAUAUAUUAGUGUUCGUUUAGUUUUGUUGGAUUUUUCACUCUUACUUUGCAAAGUUUGUCUAUUGUCUUUAUUUCCUUCGAUUAAUCAUGAAUAUUUUAUGUUAAAAUGAACUUUUAUUAAAUUCACUUUGAUUUAGCACGAUUUCGUUUAUUAAAAUUCAUCACCCGUUGGUCCAGUUCGAAGUUUUGAAAUCACUCGAAUUUUCUUUUUUGCUUAUCAGUGAUUUGGCUUGAUUCUUGACCCCUUGGGUUUGAGCUUUAGGUCCAUCUGAUAUAUUUACUUGAACCUGAACCUUUAUGUCAUUGAUCCAUGACCCAUUUGAGGUCCAGCAGAUAACAGGGUCACGCGGAGGGGGAGGUGGGUAAUUUGGAUAGUCUAGCUAGGGAAUCUAUUUGUAACUGCUUCGGGAAGCUUCUAGGAAGCUGGGGAAGGGGUUGUUUUAGAAGCUGAAAACUAGACUAAGGGGUACCUAGGAAAAAAUGAAAACAUAAAAAGGGUCAAAAGUGAAAAACUGAUUCGGAGGGUCGCCCUAAAUGCCUUGGCUAUAAAGGCACUCUAUCUUAUUAUUCAAGGCAGACCUUAUGAUUCUGAGGGUCGCCCAAAAUGCCUUGAUUCAGUGAAAAUUACUGUUACAUUGAAUUUUUUCUGUGAUUUUUUAAGUUUCCAACUCCUAAAAAUAAAUUCUGAUCUAAAUAGAGCUGAAAUGAUUUGAGUUUAGUGGUUUAAAGAGUCUUGGUUUGAAGUUCCGGUCGAUUUGGUUGAUUGUUGCACAUUAUUUCUUGGUUUAAUGUUAUUUCUCUUGGUUAUCUCUGUUGUGGACCACUAUUUUUGCUACUGCAUGUUGCUGUUCUACUCACUUCAUUCUUAUUUUUCUCUCCAGGUAUGUCUUGCAGUUGAGUGACAUAUGAGGUGAAAAAAUGGAAGUUUUGUAGUUAUGUUCAAUAGUGCUGGAUGAAUAAUAGUCUAUGUUUUUUCAAAGCUUGCUCAUGUGAUUUCUUAUUCGAAUCAAUU